UCCUCUCCUAUCAAUCCCCCUCCGUUCAUCAGAGGGAGCCAAAAUGACCCUUUGGCUAAACUUGGUGUUCUUACUUGCAUGCCUUGGAGGAGCCCAAUCUCAAGUACAGUUGGUGGAGUCUGGAGGGGACUUGAGAAGACCUGGAGAGUCCAUUCGUAUCUCCUGCCAAGCUUCUGGAUUCACCUUCAGUAGCUCCUGGAUGUACUGGAUGAGACAGGCUCCAGGGAAAGGCCUGGAAUGGGUUUCUCAUAUAAAUCCAAGUUCAUCUAACAUUUUCUACUCUGACAAAGUGAAGGGACGCUUCACCAUCUCCAGAGACAAUGCCAAAAGCCAGCUGUAUCUGCAAAUGAACAGCGUGAAAUCAGAGGACACAGCAGUCUAUCAUUGUAUGGCAGACACAAUGAGAGGAAGCGAAUCUGACACCAGGCAAAAACUUUCUCUUCCUCUGAGCAACUUUCCAACUUGA